rnacentral:rRNA from 1 species
GCUCAGUAACUCUUAUUUUAUUUGAUGUAUUAGGAUUAUAACUAUGUUAAAUUAUAGAUAACAAUAAUACAAUAAGAAUAAGAUCUAUCAGUUAGUUGUUAAGGUAAUGGCUUAACAAGACUAUGACGGAUAACGGUAUUACUUUGUAAUAUUCCGGAGAAGGAGCCUGAGAGAUUGCUACUAAGUCUAAGGAUUGCAGCAGGGGCGAAACUUGACCUAUGAUAUGAUAUUGAGGCAGUUAUGAGUAGUAUUUUUAAUUAUUG